UACAGAGGGUGCAAGCGUUGUUCGGAAUUAUUGGGCGUAAAGCGCGUGUAGGCGGCUUGGCAAGUCAGAUGUGAAAAGCCCCUCGGCUUAACCGAGGAAGUGCGUCUGAAAACUGCUGAGCUUGAGUCUCGGAGAGGAUGGCGGAAUUCCGCAAGUAGAGGUGAAAUUCGUAGAUAUGCGGAGGAACACCGGUGGCGAAGGCGGCCAUCUGGACGAGUACUGACGCUGAGACGCGAAAGCGUGGGGAGCAAACAGGG
rnacentral:rRNA from 1 species